GACGAACGCUGGCGGCGUGCUUAACACAUGCAAGUCGAACGGCAAGGCCCUGCUUUUGUGGGGUGCUCGAGUGGCGAACGGGUGAGUAACACGUGAGUAACCUGCCCUUGACUUUGGGAUAACUUCAGGAAACUGGGGCUAAUACCGGAUAGGAGCUCCUGCUGCAUGGUGGGGGUUGGAAAGUUUCGGCGGUUGGGGAUGGACUCGCGGCUUAUCAGCUUGUUGGUGGGGUAGUGGCUUACCAAGGCUUUGACGGGUAGCCGGCCUGAGAGGGUGACCGGCCACAUUGGGACUGAGAUACGGCCCAGACUGCUACGGGAGGCAGCAGUGGGGAAUAUUGCACAAUGGGCGGAAGCCUGAUGCAGCAACGCCGCGUGCGGGAUGACGGCCUUCGGGUUGUAAACCGCUUUCGCCUGUGACGAAGCGUGAGUGACGGUAAUGGGUAAAGAAGCACCGGCUAACUACGUG
rnacentral:rRNA from 1 species